rnacentral:rRNA from 1 species
UACAGAGGUCUCAAGCGUUGUUCGGAUUCAUUGGGCGUAAAGGGUGUGUAGGUGGCGCGCUGAGUCGGGUGUGAAAUUUCGGAGCUUAACUCCGAAACUGCAUUCGAUACUGGCGUGCUUGAGGACUGGAGAGGAGACUGGAAUUCAUGGUGUAGCAGUGAAAUGCGUAGAGAUCAUGAGGAAGACCAGUGGCGAAGGCGGGUCUCUGGACAGUUCCUGACACUGAGACACGAAGGCCAGGGGAGCAAACGGG